UUUAUACUCCCUCCGUUCGGAAUUACUUGUCGUAGAAAUGGAUGUAUCUAGAUGUAUUUUAGUUCUAGAUACAUCCAUUUCCGAGACAAGUAAUUCCGAACGGAGGGAAUAUAUA
rnacentral:pre_miRNA from 1 species